AGCUGCAGUCGAGAUCUUUCGCAUGGGCGAAGCCUGACGAAGCGACGCCGUGUGUGUGAUGAAGGCCYUCGGGUCGUAAAGCACUUUCGCUUGGGAACAAGAGAUGUUGGCUAAUAUCCAGCUGAUUUGAGGGUACYAGGUAAAGAAGCACCGGCUAACUCC
rnacentral:rRNA from 1 species